rnacentral:rRNA from 1 species
UACGGAGGAUCCAAGCGUUAUCCGGAUUUAUUGGGUUUAAAGGGUGCGUAGGCUGUUCGUUAAGUUAGAGGUGAAAUCCCGUGGCUCAACCACGGAACUGCCUCUGAUACUGGCGGGCUAGAGAUUAGAUGCUGUGGGCGGAAUGUGUGGUGUAGCGGUGAAAUGCUUAGAGAUCACACAGAACACCGAUUGCGAAGGCAGCUCACAAAUCUAGAUCUGACGCUGAGGCACGAAAGCGUGGGGAGCAAAC